rnacentral:lncRNA from 1 species
UGGGACGAGAGUGAGGGAGGAUUUUAUAAUCGGGGCGGGAGCGCAGGUGAACCCGCUCUAUUGCCAUCCCUGAUAAUAACCAACCAAAUUUUGUAGAAUCUUGCAAAUCAUGGUCUUGCGGACAACUUUGACCAUCCCGCAAGUUUCUCCUGUAGCCCCUCUUUUAAGACUUCAAAAUCAGUAUCCAAGCUGAUCCAACUCCAAUUUGACUAAUCUCGAGUCCAGACCCCAAACCCAAAUAUCAAGGCGGGGUCAUACAGGUAAUCAAAUCUACCAUGCAAUAUGCUAGAACAAGAUUACUAUAAAUCAAAAUUCAAGAGAUAUAAACUAUAUAUUUACGAUAUACUUUGAUUUUAUCAAACUUCAGAUCUAACAAGGUAAUUAACAAGGUAACUACCUAGUAAAGAGCAAGUUACCACUGGUGAGUAUAGGUCAGUGUUUUCUAAAGACUUGCCACAACGCUUCAUUAUCAGGCAGGCCUUUUGUCAAACCAUCCAGGGUGAAUGUAGAUCAUAAUCUAAUUCGUCCAAGUCCAAGCCAAAUGUAUGCCCUGACCAUCUUCCCACCUUCCACCAAUCAAACUCAAUACAAAUGAAAAUUGUGGGAGGGUAAAAUAGCUACUAUGCACAGAAUUGCCACCACUUGAAAAAUUACUCCUCAAAUUUGAUAAUUGGCUCAUAAAAAAGAAAACAAAUUGGGCACCAAGCACUAAAUUGGCAUACAACAAAUAAUAAUUAAGCAAUCAAAAUUCUGUACAUACUAGUAAUAAACCUUGGAAACUUUUCUUACUCGUGCAGAACACAAUAAUGAAAACUGGUGCCAACCUUUGAUUAGGGAAUGUUUGCAACAAUGGUGAAACUGUAUGGGACAACUUUAUUUCAAGUUCUAUAGCACUACUUAAAUGAUCACAAAUUAAAUAGGGCAAUAACGAAUUCAAACAAAUCAUAGAUCAAAAUAAAUAAAACCAAUCAAAUUCCUUGGACAAAAUCCACAUCUCAAAGGCAGCAUUUGAUCUCUACAUGCUUACAAAAGUACCUCUUAUUCAACACGUAAGAUUCGAGCAUACCAUAUCACCGGCACACCAAGCAGCUACAAUGAAAUGCCAUAUGCUAUAUACCUGCACAAAAUACUUCCCAGAUGCUUCCAAAGGUACCAUCAGGAUAAAAGAAAAGAACAAAACAUAAACAGCAGAAACUGAGAUUUACUUUAUUAUAAAACUUUGCCGUGCUACUUGAGGGUGAAAUAAGCAAAUAAAAUAAAAUAGAACAUAAGCAAGGACAUCAGUAUCUUCUAAAACACUAUAAAACUUCAAAUUUUCAGAAACUUCCUGUCAAAAGAAAUAAGAUAACUACAUUAAUGAAAUAUGAUACUAUAAUAUUCGACAUGCAUAGUUUUAGGUAGGCAGGGUAAUACUCGUGCGAGCACUCGCAACAACUUCCCAUUCUGCACCAAAUAUGAUAAGCCAGAAACAUCUGGUCUUGAAUGUAAGGCCAGAAAUCAAAAGUUCACAUGACAUCAGCAACUACUGAAGUGGAGAUCAGCCCAAAUGGACAACACCUGUUACUCCUUUUGCAACCAGCGCAGCACAACAGCAAGACAACCACAGCAUGACAGCACAAAAAUGGAAAAAUUCAACAGCCACCACUGAACCUUCACAGCUGAAAUUGAAGCCACAUACAGCACCACUGAACCUUCUUACUUCACAGCUUAUGGCAGUUACAACAGACACAUUCAAAAUACGAUACAAAUAUAUUACACUCAUUACGGGCCAAGCACAGUAAGGACCACCCCUUAACACCAGAAAAAUUGAAAAAUAAAAUAAAGCGCAGUUAGUUAUCCCAAAUGACCACCUAUACAAUGGCCAGGAUUACAGUACACAACAGGAACUCUUAAAUCCCAAAUGUAAAAAUUGAACUCAAACCUCCAUAUUUGAACAAAUAUACCAAAACAUGGGGAAAAUUAGCCAACAAAAUCAAUCAAUGGUUAGCGAUUAGGUAGUUAUCUGAGGAAAUUAUACUAUGAUUUGGUUUAAGGCCCCCUCGCAUUGUCAAUCAAGGUGUGCAGAAUUAAUUUUAGGAAAUUAGCAUUCAAUGUUUGCAGGGCACACAUGCUGUGAAUCGAUUUGAGUGUUUUUUGCAUACGAAUGACAUAAAUAAAUGGCGAUGGCAGAAGCAAGGUAAAGAGAACUUCUGUUAGUACCUCUAGGACGAUUGGACUGAAAAGUCGAGAUGUUAAUCCCAUCCUUGCAUUAGCUUGCGCAACGUUCGACUAGGAAAUUGAGAUCCUAUUUGCCUCGAAUUGGUGUAAAUGAAUCGCCGUGGUGCAAAUUAUAGACAAAAGCAACUGUUUGCAGGGGAGAGAGAGGAGGAAGAGAGAAAAAUGCAAGACACGAGAAGGGAGAGCCGGAAAAACCCCAUGCCAUCUCCCCUCAAAACACAAAAAGAAAAAUUUAUUAGUAAUUCUGACCUGUCAUGCAAGCGCACCUGACAUGACAAAGGUCGGGCGACAACCACUAUUGAACAUUCCACACACUAUUAUAUUUUCAUCCAUAGCGCUUAGCGCACUGACGCGCACACGCGUACUAUUAACUUCUUCUAUAUGGUUCGUACACCAUGAACAUAACACAAAAAGGCAUCCAACAAAUCCUUACAUAGAUCUUCGGAGCUUCAUCGCCAGACUUCUUCAACCGUUUCAAGAACCAAAUAACUUCAACUCGCAACAAAUCGGUUAGAUCAAGAAGCUAACGAGUAGAUCUAAAUUGCAACGGUCCAAGAUCGAAUUUUAUAUCAGUUCCCGAUCUGCAAGAUGAAACAAAUCUCCACAAAUAAGCAGAUCUGAUCCAAAAUUUACAACUACUAUGAUUCAACACGAAAAGAUCCCAGCCUUGAACUCUCACCUCCGAAAAUCACAGCAAAACCAUAGCUUUCCUAUCGAACAACACGAACAGAACUGGUACGUCUAUAAUCCAACUGAUCAGAACAAGGACCUAGAACAUUUAGGCAAAAUAUAUCAAUCAAACAAAUCCUCUGAGAAAAUACACACCAUAGAAAAAAAAAGGAUUUUUCAAGAACAGAUAAACCACAUACCUCCACAGAUCUACCAAAUCUGUAUAAACUUCGAACGAUUCGAAGCCAUGGCCGAUGAGAUUAUGCGUGAAUCGAGUCAAUCGACGGUCAGACGCAAAUCGCUCAACAAAAACGUUCGAAUCUACUAUCAAAUCGUAGAUCGACGAACCAUCCAUGUAGAUCAGAUGAGAAAUUUCGAAAUGAAUAACGAAGAAAAAUAGAUCUAAGGAAAAUGGAGCAGAGAGCGUUUCAAGAUGCACAGACGAAAUAGGGACGCAAAUGCCAACAAAAGAGGGCGAGCAUGAUUUAUUACCUGUCUGGCACGAUCCAACGGCUGUGGAUGAUUGCUUCUUGGACAUAUCAACAGUGGGACGUGAUUGGCCGUAGAUGAGAAUCUUGCGUUUACGUGUGAAGAUUCUCGAUUUGAUUUGACAAGAUUGCCACGUGUUUCGUCGUGCUUCACGCACAUUAAUUGUCUUAUUU